UGGUUGAGAGCUUUCCUUAGAUCUUGAGAGAGGAAGAAAUGAGAUGCUCUUUUGAUUUGAGCUUUUUAUCAUCUAAGCUUUGAUAUGUGCUAAGAGUUCCUUGUAAUUUCAUAUAAUGAAGUAAUCUAAAGAUCAAUUCUGUGAUCCACUUGUUCCCCUCUCCGAAUAUUAAAUUUCUCUUUUUCUGUGAUUCUAGGAGAUACUUAUUGGGGAUUUUUUUAUUGUUCUUUGAUUUGUGCUGCUGUUUCUUUGAAAUAUCUUGAGUGGUUUUGGUGCUAGGACAGGUAAGAAGUGAUCUUCAUCAUAAAUUGAUUGAAUCUUCUCAUGGCACUUUUUAAUCGCAGUUUGUUCCUACAUUUUUUCAUGUUCUAGAGAGUUUUACAAAAUUCGGUGCUUAAAUUCUAAAUAUUUUUUAGAGUUUUCUUUUGGGAUGAUGAGUUGCACAUGUUGUGUGAACUCUGAAGGCUAUGAUUAAAAUUUAAAAUCUCAUCUCAAUCGGACUCUAUUUGAUCAAGUUUGGAUUGAUCUCAAAGAGACGCUUGAGUUUUUUUUUUUUGGUGUGUGAACUUCACCAUGAGCCAACACCUUUGUCCAGCAUUUGUCUUUUUCGCCAGUGUGGACUGUCUAUCUAUUUUUCCAUAGACCGGACAGUCUGGCCGUUUACAUUUCCCAUGACGCAAACGGUCCGGUGCCUCUAUUUUGAGCCUCACUCCAGCAUAGUAUCGAGUAGCCACAUGUUCGGUGGAUGCUUUUCUUGACCAUGCGGACUGUCCGGUGCUUCAAUUUUCUUACUUCAGCACGGCACUAGAGCUUAAUUGUCUAAUGCGUGUUCUUUUCAUAUGGGAGCGAACUGCCCGGUGCUUUGUGUUUUGCUAGGCUUCAGUGUGGUGCUUUGUUUUUUGCUCAGCUUCGGUGCUUCAGAGUCCGGUUGCUACCUUUCCUCGUGUAUCUCAGGUCUACUCUUUUUGCGUUGCUUCGGCUAUGUUCUGAGCCGUUUCUAAUCGUUCCUAGGGCUAAUAUGUC
rnacentral:lncRNA from 1 species